CCGGCUACAGUAUAUGAUCCCAACAGACUCGCAGGUGAAGUGUCGCCUCAGCUGGAAGGACUGCUUAGCGGAGCAGAUGUGGCACUUGUUUCGCUUGCAAGGAUACGUGCCGGGGGGAGAUUAGUGGGGAGGGACAAAUGGUCAAAGGAGACGCGAAGGGAGCGAUCCCUGUGGAAAGUGUGGGGGGAGGUGUUUGGUGGUGGGAUCCCAUUGGAGAUGGAGGAAGUUUCGGAGAAUUAUGUGCUGCUGGACGCGGAGGCUGGUGAGGUGCUGGGUGAAGAAUAUGGUAUCCUGAGAAUAACCAUUCCUGCUGCGGAUCCGAUUGGUUGAAGAGCGUCUCACCCCAUCCUCCCGCCGCUCUACCAGAGAUAGGGUUCCUCUUGCCCUCACCUACCGCCCACCAGCCUUCGCGUCCAGCACGAAAUUCCCCGCAACUUCCGCCACCUCCAACGGGAUCCCACCACCAAGCACAUCUUUCCCUCUCCCCCCAUUUCUGCUUUCCGCAGGGAUCGCUCUCUACGUGACUCCCUUGUCCAUUCGUCCCUACCCACUGAUCUCCCUCCUGGUACUUGUCCUUGCAAGCGGAACAACUGCCCUCACACCUCUUCCCUCACUGCUAUCGAGGGCCCCAAACAUUCCUUCCAGGUGAGGCGACCCUUCACCUGUGAGUCUGUUGGGGUCAUUUACUGUGUCCGGUGCUCCUGUUGCGGUCUCCUGUAUAUCGGUGAGACCCGACGUAGGUUGAGAGACCACUUCGCUCAGCAUCUACGCUCCGUCCGCCAGAACCAGCGGGAUCUCCCAGCAGCCACCCACUUUUAAUUCCACUUCCGAUUCUUAUUCCAAUAUGUCAGUUAAUGGCCUCCUCCACUGUCGCAAUGAGGCCACACUCAGGUUGGAGGAACAACACCUUAUAAUCCGUCUCGGUAGCCUACAAACUGAUGGCAUGAACAACGAUUUCUUGGACUUACGUGAGAAGAUAACAUCAACCAUGCACAAUAUUAGUGCCAUUCUGUUCAUUGAGCAGGAUGCAUUUGUUGGUUACACUUCAACUCAUUAGUUCUUCAAAAAAAAACUCCAAAGAAAAAAAUAAAUAAAACAGACUGGCUAAGAAAUUCUCUGAAAUGUCUUACAAGGAAAAAAAAAUUGUGAACAUUCUCUUAAAAAGAACAUUCUGCUGGAACAUCAUAUCAGAAAACCUUAACAUUUGAAGAUGAAGAGAAAAGAUGCCAGAAAGGAGAGGUCGUAGACACCUGAAAGCAGCGGACUUGGAGUGGGGCCAGGAGUUGACGAAGCCCGGGGAAAUCGAUGGAGGACCAGCGAAAGGGAAGCUAUGAGCUCCAACUUGUGCACAUUAGACUGUUUCAUUAAAAUGGGCCCUUUUCUUUUUGUUUUACUUUACUAACCCUCUACUCAAAUUAAGAAUUAUAAAGCUAAAUCAU